GACGAACGCUGGCGGAGUGCUUAACACACGCAAGUCGAACGGAGUGGCGAACGGGUGAGUAACACGUGGGUGACCCGCCCUGCACUUCGGGCUAAGCCUGGGAAACUGGGUCCAAUACCGGAUAGUGUGGGAUGGGCCCGCGGCCUAUCAGCUUGUUGGUGGGGUAAUGGCCUACCAAGGCGGCGACGGGUAGCCGGCCUGAGAGGGUUGACGGCCACAGUGGGACUGAGACAUGGGCCAGACUCCUACGGGAGGCAGCAGUGGGGAAGAUUUCACUAUGGGCGGAAGCCUGAUGCAGCGACGCCGCGUGGGGGAGGACGGCCUUCGGGUUGGAAACUCCUUUCACGAUCGACGCGGUAGAUGGAGAAGAAGCACCGGCUAACUACGUGCCAGCAGCCGCGGUAAUUC
rnacentral:rRNA from 1 species